rnacentral:rRNA from 1 species
UGCGUAGGCGGGCUAAUAAGUCAGUGGUGAAAUCUCUCGGCUCGACCGGGAAACUGCCAUUGAUACUGUUAGUCUUGAGUUCGGUUGAGGUAGGCGGAAUGUGUAAUGUAGCGGUGAAAUGCUUAGAUAUUACACAGAACACCAAUUGCGUAGGCAGCUUACUAGACCGACACUGACGCUGAGGCACGAAAGCGUGGGGAGCGAACAGGAUUAGAUACCCUGGUAGUCC